ACUAUUGUACUUCACAAAACCAUUUCUGAAAGAGUUGAUCUUAUUCUCCCUCCUUAAUAUAAAAACUGAUGUAAUCACGAUGGAGGCAACAACCCUCUUUCUUGAGCGUGAGAACGACACGAGUUCCCCAGGUAUUUGUGAUCCUUCCCAUUGAUGAUUGCUCAUUCAUUACAUUUGUUAGUACCUCGAUAAUGAGAGGAAGAGCUUUCUGAGCGAU
rfam:Trachymyrmex zeteki contig14419, whole genome shotgun sequence.